rnacentral:SRP_RNA from 1 species
GUGCUGGAGGAGCAGACAGAGGAGAGAGACGCUGCGUACAGAGCCAACCUAGCUGCUGCAGCAGAAGAGCUAGACAGGAGUCGAGGGGAGCUGGCCAGGACCAAAGGAGAAGUGGAAAGGAGCAGGGAAGAACUGGAAAGGAGCAGGGAAGAGGUGCAGCAACUGCAGGUGG